rnacentral:misc_RNA from 1 species
UCCGAGUUGACCCCGGCAGUCUCCCAUGAGUCCCCACCAUCACGUGCUGGCAACAUGGAACGAGGGCUGCGCUCGUUGCGGGACUUAACCCAACAUCUCACGACACGAGCUGACGACAGCCAUGCACCACCUGUGCACCUGCCCCGAAGGGCUGCCGUAUUUCUACGGCAUUCAGGUGCAUGUCAAGCCCUGGUAAGGUUCUUCGCGUUGCGUCGAAUUAAACCACAUGCUCCGCUGCUUGUGUGGGCCCCCGUCAAUUCCUUUGAGUUUUAGCCUUGCGGCCGUACUCCCCAGGCGGGGUACUUACUCCGUUAGGUGCGGCACCGGCGGUAACCCGCCGACACUUAGUAUCCAUCGUUUAGGGCGUGGACUAC